UGUGUUUGUGUGUGCUUAAUUUCUGAAAUGCAGAGACCUGCCUCCCUCAUUCUGUCUCUCACACACUCAUAAAUUAGGCACACACACACACACACACACAC